rnacentral:rRNA from 1 species
AUUGAACGCUGGCGGCAUGCUUUACACAUGCAAGUCGAACGGUAACAGGCCUUCGGGUGCUGACGAGUGGCGAACGGGUGAGUAAUGCAUCGGAACGUACCCAGAGGUGGGGGAUAACGCAGCGAAAGCUGUGCUAAUACCGCAUGUGAUCUGAGGAUGAAAGCGGGGGACCGAGCAGCAAUGUUUGGCCUCGCGCCUUUGGAGCGGCCGAUGUCGGAUUAGCUAGUUGGUGGGGUAAAGGCCUACCAAGGCGACGAUCCGUAGCUGGUCUGAGAGGACGACCAGCCACACUGGGACUGAGACACGGCCCAGACUCCUACGGGAUGCAGCAGUGGGGAAUUUUGGACAAUGGGCGCAAGCCUGAUCCAGCAAUGCCGCGUGCGGGAAGAAGGCCUUCGGGUUGUAAACCGCUUUUGGCAGGAACGAAACGGUGUCCGCUAAUACCGGGCGCUAAUGACGGUACCUGCAGAAUAAGCACCGGCUAACUACGUG